UUUGCAUACAGGAGAUGUGGGGUAAUUUCCCGCAAGUCUUA
rnacentral:tRNA from 1 species